AUGUAGGAUGUGGUCAAUGACUGACUC
rnacentral:piRNA from 1 species